UCAGUCAGUGAAGUAUUUACAGACACCUGAAUGAGUUAAUCAGCUUGUGACAGAUCAGGGAGAGAUGGAAAAUGUGUAUGUCAGGUGGUACUUGAG